GCACCGCAGCAAACCCUGCUCUUGCCCAUCAGUGCUGGGCAUGGGUAAAGAUGGUGCCAGAGUGACUCGAGGUUAAUCCAGACGAGUUUCCUCCUCCCAUUGGAGCUUGUCUCUACAACUUUGACACAAAG